rnacentral:misc_RNA from 1 species
UUUAUACUCAUAUACUUUGAUUCGCCCGGUUUAUUCGACCAUCUGAAGAUGAACGUAAUGUUGUGGCAGUGGUGGACGCAACAAACAACUCAAUCUCUUUCCUCGAAGAUCAUCCUAUGAAUGCAUAACCUAUUUUGGAAGGGCAAUUACCUACAUCAAUUGCUUCCAUUGAAGCAAUACAGAUGGUUAAGAUUUUAGGUGAUGGGAUUGAUUGCUCUAUUUGUUUGUCCAAUUAUGAGAUUGGCGAGGAAGCUAAGAAG